ACAGAAGGGAGCUUGCUCCCGGAUGUUAGCGGCGGACGGGUGAGUAACACGUGGGUAACCUGCCUGUAAGACUGGGAUAACUCCGGGAAACCGGAGCUAAUACCGGAUAGUUCCUUGAACCGCAUGGUUCAAGGAUGAAAGACGGUUUCGGCUGUCACUUACAGAUGGACCCGCGGCGCAUUAGCUAGUUGGUGAGGUAACGGCUCACCAAGGCGACGAUGCGUAGCCGACCUGAGAGGGUGAUCGGCCACACUGGGACUGAGACACGGCCCAGACUCCUACGGGAGGCAGCAGUAGGGAAUCUUCCGCAAUGGACGAAAGUCUGACGGAGCAACGCCGCGUGAGUGAUGAAGGUUUUCGGAUCGUAAAGCUCUGUUGUUAGGGAAGAACAAGUGCAAGAGUAACUGCUUGCACCUUGACGGUACCUAACCAGAAAGCCACGGCUAACUACGUGCCAGCAGCCGCGGUAAUACGUAGGUGGCAAGCGUUGUCCGGAAUUAUUGGGCGUAAAGGGCUCGCAGGCGGUUUCUUAAGUCUGAUGUGAAAGCCCCCGGCUCAACCGGGGAGGGUCAUUGGAAACUGGGAAACUUGAGUGCAGAAGAGGAGAGUGGAAUUCCACGUGUAGCGGUGAAAUGCGUAGAGAUGUGGAGGAACACCAGUGGCGAAGGCGACUCUCUGGUCUGUAACUGACGCUGAGGAGCGAAAGCGUGGGGAGCGAACAGGAUUAGAUACCCUGGUAGUCCACGCCGUAAACGAUGAGUGCUAAGUGUUAGGGG
rnacentral:rRNA from 1 species